rnacentral:hammerhead_ribozyme from 1 species
AUCCAUAUAACGAGUCCCAAAUAGGAUGAAACGCGCAUCCUGGAU